rnacentral:rRNA from 1 species
ACGAAGGGGGCUAGCGUUGCUCGGAAUUACUGGGCGUAAAGCGCACGUAGGCGGUCUUUUAAGUCGGGGGUGAAAUCCUGGAGCUCAACUCCAGAAUUGCCUUCGAUACUGUUUGGCUUGAGACCGGAAGAGGACAGCGGAACUGCGAGUGUAGAGGUGAAAUUCGUAGAUAUUCGCAAGAACACCAGUGGCGAAGGCGGCUGUCUGGUCCGGUUCUGACGCUGAGGCGCGAAAGCGUGGGGAGCAAACAGGA